GAUGAACGCUGACAGAAUGCUUAACACAUGCAAGUCAACUUGAAUUUGGGUUUUUAACUUAGGUUUGGGUGGCGGACGGGUGAGUAACGCGUAAAGAACUUGCCUCACAGCUAGGGACAACAUUUGGAAACGAAUGCUAAUACCUAAUAUUAUGAUAAUAGGGCAUCCUAUAAUUAUGAAAGCUAUAAGCGCUGUGAGAGAGCUUUGCGUCCCAUUAGCUAGUUGGAGAGGUAACGGCUCACCAAGGCGAUGAUGGGUAGCCGGCCUGAGAGGGUGAUCGGCCACAAGGGGACUGAGACACGGCCCAGACUCCUACGGGAGGCAGCAGUAGGGAAUCUUCGGCAAUGGGGGGAACCCUGACCGAGCAACGCCGCGUGAGUGAAGAAGGUUUUCGGAUCGUAAAGCUCUGUUGUUAAGGAAGAACGAGUGUGAGAAUGGAAAGUUCAUACUGUGACGGUACUUAACCAGAAAGGGACGGCUAACUACGUGCCAGCAGCCGCGGUAAUACGUAGGUCACGAGCGUUGUCCGGAUUUAUUGGGCGUAAAGCGAGCGCAGGCGGUUAGAAAAGUCUGAAGUGAAAGGCAGUGGCUCAACCAUUGUAGGCUUUGGAAACUGUUUAACUUGAGUGCAGAAGGGGAGAGUGGAAUUCCAUGUGUAGCGGUGAAAUGCGUAGAUAUAUGGAGGAACACCGGUGGCGAAAGCGGCUCUCUGGUCUGUAACUGACGCUGAGGCUCGAAAGCGUGGGGAGCGAACAGG
rnacentral:rRNA from 1 species